AUUGAACGCUGGCGGCAUGCCUAACACAUGCAAGUCGAACGGCAGCACAGCAGUAGCAAUACUGUGGGUGGCGAGUGGCGGACGGGUGAGGAAUACGUCGGAAUCUGCCCAGUCGUGGGGGAUAACUAGCCGAAAGGUUAGCUAAUACCGCAUACGACCGAGAGGUGAAAGCGGGGGACCGCAAGGCCUCGCGCGAUUGGAUGAGCCGACGUCGGAUUAGCUAGUUGGCGGGGUAAAGGCCCACCAAGGCGACGAUCCGUAGCUGGUCUGAGAGGAUGAUCAGCCACACUGGAACUGAGACACGGUCCAGACUCCUACGGGAGGCAGCAGUGGGGAAUAUUGGACAAUGGGCGCAAGCCUGAUCCAGCAAUGCCGCGUGUGUGAAGAAGGCCUUCGGGUUGUAAAGCACUUUUAUCAGGAACGAAAGACGUUGGAUUAAUACUCUGACGUGCUGACGGUACCUGAGGAAUAAGCACGGCUAACUUCG
rnacentral:rRNA from 1 species